rnacentral:rRNA from 1 species
AGAGUUUGAUCCUGGCUCAGAUUGAACGCUGGCGGCAUGCCUUACACAUGCAAGUCGAACGGCAGCACGGGGGCAACCCUGGUGGCGAGUGGCGAACGGGUGAGUAACACAUCGGAACGUGUCCUGUUGUGGGGGAUAACUAGUAGAAAGAUUAGCUAAUACCGCAUAAGCUGGAGACAGGAAAGCAGGGGACUCGCAAGGGCCUUGCGCGAUUGGAGCGGCCGAUGUCCGAUUAGCUAGUUGGUGGGGUAAAGGCCUACCAAGGCGACGAUCGGUAGCUGGUCUGAGAGGAUGAUCAGCCACACUGGGACUGAGACACGGCCCAGACUCCUACGGGAGGCAGCAGUGGGGAAUUUUGGACAAUGGGGGCAACCCUGAUCCAGCCAUGCCGCGUGAGUGAAGAAGGCCUUCGGGUUGUAAAGCUCUUUCGGUGGGAACGAAACGGUUACGGAUAAUACCCGUGACUCCUGACGGUACCUACAGAAGAAGCACCGGCUAACUACGUGCCAGCAGCCGCGGUAAUACGUAGGGUGCGAGCGUUAAUCGGAAUUACUGGGCGUAAAGCGUGCGCAGGCGGCGCGUUAAGACAGGUGUGAAAGCCCCGAGCUUAACUUGGGAAUUGCGCUUGUGACUGGCGAGCUGGAGUGUGGCAGAGGGAGGUGGAAUUCCACGUGUAGCAGUGAAAUGCGUAGAGAUGUGGAGGAACACCGAUGGCGAAGGCAGCCUCCUGGGCCAGCACUGACGCUCAUGCACGAAAGCGUGGGGAGCAAACAGGAUUAGAUACCCUAGUAGUCC